AAACUUAAAUGAAUUGGCGGGGGCCCGCACAAGCAGCGGAGCAUGUGGUUUAAUUCGAAGCAACGCGAAGAACCUUACCUAGACUUGACAUCUCCUGAAUUACCCGUAACUGGGGAAGCUCUUCGGAGCAGGAAGACAGGUGGUGCAUGGUUGUCGUCAGCUCGUGUCGUGAGAUGUUGGGUUAAGUCCCGCAACGAGCGCAACCCUUAUCGUUAGUUGCUACCAUUAAGUUGAGCACUCUAGCGAGACUGCCCGGGUUAACCGGGAGGAAGGUGGGGAUGACGUCAAAUCAUCAUGCCCCUUAUGUCUAGGGCUACACACGUGCUACAAUGGUGAGGACAAAGAGACGCAAGACCGCGAGGUGGAGCAAAUCUCACAAACCUCAUCCCAGUUCGGAUUGCAGGCUGAAACUCGCCUGCAUGAAGCCGGAGUUGCUAGUAAUCGCGAAUCAGCAUGUCGCGGUGAAUACGUUCCCGGGCCUUGUACACACCGCCCGU
rnacentral:rRNA from 1 species